rnacentral:rRNA from 1 species
GGAAUAUUGCGCAAUGGCCGAAAGGCUGACGCAGCGACGCCGCGUGGGGGAUGAAGCAUUUCGGUGUGUAAACCCCUGUUGCUCGGGACGAACAACCUGUUUCGACAGGUCUGACGGUACCGGGUGAGGAAGCACCGGCCAACUCCGUGCCAGCAGCCGCGGUAAUACGGAGGGUGCGAGCGUUGGCCGGAAUCACUGGGCGUAAAGGGCGCGUAGGCGGUUUGUUAAGCGUGCGGUGAAAGCCCGGGGCUCAACCCCGGGUCUGCCGUGCGAACUGGCGGACUAGAGCACUGUAGAGGCAGGUGGAAUUCCGGGUGUAGCGGUGGAAUGCGUAGAGAUCCGGAAGAACACCGGUGGCGAAGGCGGCCUGCUGGGCAGUUGCUGACGCUGAGGCGCGACAGCGUGGGGAGCAAAC